UGUGCAUAUUUGUAGUCAAAAUUGAUGUUACGAACACAUAAUAAUAAAAUGAUCAAAUUCAAAAGAAAAAUAUGAUGAUAAUAAAAUGAUGAAAUGCAAAAAAAAAUAUGAAUAUUGUAGAACCAUGGUGAUUGUGAAAUUUUUAGGUGAAAAAUCUUAGGUGAUAAAAAUUGAAUUGUAUAAGAUGUCACAAAAAUGAAUUGCUUGUC
rnacentral:lncRNA from 1 species